AAUAGAUACCCAGGUAGUCCACGCCGUAAACGAUGUCGACUUGGAGGUUGUUCCCUUGAGGAGUGGCUUCCGGAGCUAACGCGUUAAGUCGACCGCCUGGGGAGUACGGCCGCAAGGUUAAAACUCAAAUGAAUUGACGGGGGCCCGCACAAGCGGUGGAGCAUGUGGUUUAAUUCGAUGCAACGCGAAGAACCUUACCUACUCUUGACAUCCAGAGAACUUUCCAGAGAUGGAUUGGUGCCUUCGGGAACUCUGAGACAGGUGCUGCAUGGCUGUCGUCAGCUCGUGUUGUGAAAUGUUGGGUUAAGUCCCGCAACGAGCGCAACCCUUAUCCUUUGUUGCCAGCGGUUCGGCCGGGAACUCAAAGGAGACUGCCAGUGAUAAGCUGGAGGAAGGUGGGGAUGACGUCAAGUCAUCAUGGCCCUUACGAGUAGGGCUACACACGUGCUACAAUGGCGUAUACAAAGAGAAGCGACCUCGCGAGAGCAAGCGGACCUCAUAAAGUACGUCGUAGUCCGGAUUGGAGUCUGC
rnacentral:rRNA from 1 species